CUGGCAUUGUUCGAGGCUGCUGAUCUGAAUGAAGUGGACCGUGUAACGGGUCGAUGGCUCUCCUGUCUUUGGCCGUUGUGAUCUGAGCUGUGAGCUUCUCCAACUUCAGGGUCAGGAAUGGAGAAGUGAUUCAGCUGCUGUGUCUCUCCUGUACUGCUCUGAUUGUUGGACAGUCUGGCCAUGGCGGUUACAUACGCCUCUUCCAUAUGUUUUUGCUUCUGGAGGACCUCCACCAAGGUACUCUGACCUGAAGAUAGGGAGACAAGGCGAAGCCUCAGAAUGCGGUCCUGGAAGGGGUCAAGCCGAGUCCUGCAGAGAAUCAAACGGGAAAACUUGACAGACCAGAUGGAUGGGCCUGUGGCUGGAUCAGGGACAGGCACAAAGCUCCACUUCGACUCAGUGGUACAGGAGGAAGUCUGCAUCUUCCACAAAGACCAGGAUUUUCUGCAGGACAAUGCUCCACCGCAUGCAUCGAAGUACUCCCCUGCGUGGCUAGCCAGUAAAGGCUUUAAAGAUGAAAGAAUAUUGACAUGGCCCCCUUCCUCAUCUGACCUUAACCCUAUUGAAAAAAUGUGGGCCCGUCUUAAACAGGAGAUUUACUGUGAAGGAAGUCAGCACACCGCUCUGAGCGGUGUCUGGGAGGCUCUGGUUGCUGCGGCACAAAAAGUUGAUGGUCAACAGAUCAAGAAACUGACUGAAUGAAUGGAAGGCUUGUGACUGUCAUUGAAAAGAAGGGUAUUAGUCACAGAUUUUUUGGGGUGGAAUGCCUGAAAUGUUUAUUUGUACAGUUUGAGUUGUUUGUUUACUAUUCUCACUUCACCAGGUAAAAAUAAUCCAGUGAGGUGGGGAAACAUUUAGUUGCAUAUAUUAAUUGUGCACACUAAUAGUUGCCU